GCGGGUGUAGCUCAAUGGUAGAGCUCCAGCCUUCCAAGCUGAUCACGUGAGUUCGAUUCUCAUCACCCGCUCCA
rnacentral:tRNA from 1 species